UACAGGGGGUGCAAACGUUUGCUCGGAAUUAUUGGGCGUAAAGCGCGCGUAGGCGGCUACUUAAGUCGGAUGUGAAAGCCCUUGGCUCAACUGAGGAAGUGCACCCGAAACUGAGUAGCUGGAGUACGAAAGAGGGUCGCGGAAUUCCCGGUGUAGAGGUGAAAAUUCGUAGAUAUCGGGAGGAACACCGGUGGCGAAGGCGGCGACCUGGGUCGAUACUGACGCUGAGGCGCGAAAGCGUGGGGAGCAAACAGGG
rnacentral:rRNA from 1 species